rnacentral:rRNA from 1 species
GAUUUCUGGUUUGGUGCGCGCGGUCCGCUGCGGUUUCGUAGCGUGUGCUGUUGUGCGCCUGCCAUCGUUUGAGGCAGGGGCGUGCUCUUCACUGGGUGCGUCUUUAUCUCAAUCUUUUACUUUGAAAAAAUUAGAGUGUUCAAAGCAGGCUUGCGCUAUGAAUACAUUAGCAUGGAAUAAUAAUUUAGGACUUUGGUCUUAUUUUGUUGGUUUCUAGGACUAAAGUAAUGAUUGAUAGGGACAGUUGGGGGUGCUAGUAUUCAGCGGCCAGAGGUGAAAUUCUUGGAUUCGCUGAAGACUAACUUAUGCGAAAGCAUU